rnacentral:rRNA from 1 species
UACGAGAGAUCGUGCUUCUCCAGCAAUGGAGCUGUCCACACAGGUGCUGCAUGGCUGUCGUCAGCUCGUGUCGUGAGAUGUUGGGUUAAGUCCCCCGCAACGAGCGCAACCCUCGUUUCUAGUUGCCAUCAUUUAGUUGGGCACUCUAGAGAGACUGCCGCGAAUAACGCGGAGGAAGGUGGGGACGACGUCAAGUCAUCAUGGCCCUUACGUCUUGGGCUACACACGUGCUACAAUGGAUGUUACAAAGGGUCGCAAGAGCGCAAGCUGGAGCCAAUCCCCAAAAGCAUCCUCAGUUCAGAUUGAGGUCUGCAACUCGACCUCAUGAAGGUGGAAUCGCUAGUAAUCGCGGAUCAGAACGCCGCGGUGAAUACGUUCCCGGGCCUUGUACACACCGCCCGUCAAGCCACGAAAGGAGAGAGCGCUCUAAGUCGCUAAGAUAACCCGCAAGGGAGUCCAGCGCCUAAAGCGAGAUCUCUAAUUGGGGCU